rnacentral:pre_miRNA from 1 species
AGUAGGAUAGCUGGGUCAAAUGGUGGUUCCAUUCCAAGUUUUCUGAGGAAUCUCCACACAGCUUUCCAAAGUGGUUGCACCAGUGUGCAGUCCUACCAGCAAU